rnacentral:rRNA from 1 species
UACAGAGGGUGCAAGCGUUAAUCGGAAUUACUGGGCGUAAAGCGCGCGUAGGUGGUUCGUUAAGUUGGAUGUGAAAGCCCCGGGCUCAACCUGGGAACUGCAUUCGAGACUGCAUUGCUAGAGUAUGGGAGAGGGAAGUGGAAUUUCCGGUGUAGCGGUGAAAUGCGUAGAUAUCGGAAGGAACAUCAGUGGCGAAAGCGACUUCCUGGACCAAUACUGACGCUCAUGUGCGAAAGCGUGGGGAGCAAACAGG